AACCCCCUUCAUUUCCCCAUAUCUCCCAUCUGUUACUCCUCUCUUACCCUCCGCGUAAAGCCGCCGCUGGAGAUCGCCCUAUGGCGGCGGCACACAUCAAAUGACCCUAAUUUAACACCAUACAAUCCCCAUCCGCCCCUCUUUCCAAAUCCCUUACCCGUUUUACCUAAAUCUGUCUCAAACGCUAUCUCUAGUAGAUCUAAGAUUUUACCAAGAACAAAUCUGCCCCCUUUUCGAUUUUCGCGGUAAUUUCAACUCGUUUUGACCAAGAACCUACGUCGAUCGAUUGUUCUUAACAAGAACAAUUGAUUGACGUUGGUUUUUGUUCAUUCCGAAACCGCUGGAUCUUGGUCAAUCCACCUUUGACCGGCCAGAAUUCUCUCUGCCUCGUUUGCUCGCCGGAGUUCUAUGUGCUGACCGGAAUUCUUUGAAUGUAUUGGUAAUCCCCUCUAUCCAUACUCAUUUGUUUUCCAAUUAUUCACUGUAAUAGCCAUUUUCAGAUUGCCUCUAAUUCAAUUUACUUGUUUUAAACUUGACAAUGAACUAAUUGAUAUUAAGUUUGUUUUAGCAUGUUCACAUGUAAGUAUCAAAGCUUGAGUUUGAUUAAUUGGGUUUACGUUUGAAGUUGCAUUACUGUGGUGGCAAGUAGAGAUUGUUAGUUCACUUAGGCCCGUUGGAUCUGAAUUCUGAGUGGGAAAUUGGGUACGAUUGAGAAGGGUUUGGGCAUAUGUUCCUGGUCGUUAGUAAUUAAUAAUGAUAAAAUGUUAAUUUAGAGAUUUAAUUUGGAAGGAAUCUUCAUGUAACUGCUAGGAAGUUUCUAGAAAUAAAAAAGGGACCAGAUAGCAAUAAAUUGAUAAAGAGAAGGGGAAUUCGUGGGAUUUGGGGGUUGAAAAGAGUGAAUACAGUAAAGAAAAGGGGUUAAAAAGGGAGAAGGGUAUCUAAAAGAGACAGCUGGUACAAAAUCUGUCAAGAAAAGAUGCUGAAAAAUAGGAAGAAUAUCUAAAAAGGGACAGCUGUCCAUUUCUCUUGAGAAAAGAUGUUGAUGUCUUGAUUUUUAGGGGGCUGGGGGCUGGCAGAAGGCUCUCAGACAGACCCCUACAUGUUCACUAAAGGGGGACACUAAUUUUCUCUGCAGAAAUCUCACACACAUUCUCUCAUCCUCACUGAUUUCUCUUAAAGAUAACACUCUAAAAAUCCAAUUUAAAUACAGAAAAAACCAAAAAAAAAAAGAAGUAGGAUUCAGAGCUGUUUCUCAUCCCCAUAUUGUGGCUGCAUAUAUCUUGAUUCCAUAGCUGUUUGAGUUGAAAACUCGCUAUUUGGGCUGCUGUAUUUAUUCUACUGGGUUGAGCUGUAGUUUGAAGUUCAGAUUUCUCCUUGUUUCUCUGUUGCUGCUUCGUUGCUGGUAGCUCUGUUUUACUUCUGCAGAUUUAGGUACACAUACAUCAACUUGUAAUUCAUCUCUUUCAUUAAAAUGACUGGUUUCAUGAGAUAAAUGGUGUUUUGUGGCUAUUGUUAUGUUUCUGUCAUCCACAUGUAACGUGAUGUUCAGCUGGUUCUAAAUGUGAUAUAUCAUGUCUAUAAUGUCUGUGAUUGAAUAAACUGAAGUUUUAUCUCUAAGAAGUUGAAUCAUAUGUAAUUUGGUUAGUUCACGGGCAAUGAUUGUUGUUUUGAGUCCUAUUUGUCUAAUCUAGUGUUAUUGACUUCUUCUCUUAUUAACUGAACCAUUUGGAAGGUAUAAGGAGUCAUAUUUAAGGAUUACUCUGUUUUCUUGAAGCCAUCAAAGGGAGUGUAGGUGGGCUAAUUGAAUGAAUUUUACGGUUAAAGUUGUAGUCUAUGUGAUUCAUUAUGAUAAAGAUUUGUGUAUAAUUUUAUGUUAACAUUACUGAUUUGAAGCCGAUUUUAUUGUCAUUUGAUUAAACGUUUAUUCUGUUUGGAUGUUGG
rnacentral:lncRNA from 1 species